rnacentral:rRNA from 1 species
AACGUAGGAGCCAAGCGUUAUCCGAAUUCACUGGGCGUAAAGCGCGUGCAGGCGGCUGGGUAAGUUGGAUGUGAAAUCUCCUGGCUCAACUGGGAGAGGCCGUUCAAUACUACCUGGCUUGAGUUCGGGAGAGGGAUGCGGAAUUCCAGGUGUAGCGGUGAAAUGCGUAGAUAUCUGGAGGAACACCGGUGGCGAAGGCGGCAUCCUGGACCGACACUGACGCUGAGUGAGCGAAAGCCAGGGGAGCAAACGGG